rnacentral:rRNA from 1 species
AUUGAACGCUGGCGGCAUGCCUAACACAUGCAAGUCGAACGGGCUGUAGCAAUACAGCUAGUGGCGGACGGGUGAGGAAUACAUAGGAAUUUGCCCUUAAGUGGGGGAUAGUCCGGGGAAACUCGGUUUAAUACCGCAUGAUCUCGUGAGAGCAAAGCAGGGGACCGCAAGGCCUUGCGCUUUUGGAGAAGCCUAUGUCGGAUUAGCUAGUUGGUGAGGUAAUGGCUCACCAAGGCGACGAUCCGUAACUGGUCUGAGAGGAUGAUCAGU